rnacentral:rRNA from 1 species
CCUACGGGUGGCAGCAGUGGGGAAUAUUGGUCAAUGGGCGCAAGCCUGAACCAGCCACGCCGCGUGAAGGAAGAAGGCUUUCGGGUUGUAAACUUCUUUUAUCAGGGACGAAACAAGUGACGGUACCUGAUGAAUAAGCCACGGCUAACUACGUGCCAGCAGCCGCGGGAAUCCGUAGGUGGCAAGCGUUAUCCGGAUUUACUGGGUGUAAAGGGCGUGUAGGCGGGAGGGCAAGUAAGAGGUGAAAACUAUGGGCUCAACCCAUAGCCUGCAUUUGAAACUGUACUUCUUGAGUGCGGGGGAGGCAGUCGGAAUGCGGGGUGUAGCGGUGAAAUGCGUAGAUAUACGGAAGAACACCAGUGGCGAAGGCGGAUUGCUGGACAGUAACUGACGCUGAGGCGCGAAAGCGUGGGGAGCGAACAGGAUUAGAUACCCGAGUAGUC